rnacentral:SRP_RNA from 1 species
GGGUAAGUCUCAUACGGCCAGCUCCUGCUGAACUCCCCCAGGUCCGGAAGGAAGCAAGGGUAGGCGGUUGUAGCGGCGCGAUAUGAGGAGCUUACCCGGU